AGAGCUCGGGUAAGCCGCCUCCACCUGCUAGGAGGUACCCUCAAAGCUUCCUUCUCACCUUUUGGUUCUUGGUUUCCAUGCAAAGAGAAAAAAAAAAGUUUUGUUUUUGGCAUUCUGGCCUGGAGCAUCUGAGAAACACAGGGUUUCCCCCGAACACCUGUUCUGUAUUUCCCAUCGGAGCGACUCCAGCGAAAAGCUGCGUGUUAAGACAUUAACUGCCCAAGAGCCUUGAUAAACAAAACAAUGUGAUCAUCUUGAUCUCCAUUUGAAUGUGACAUGGCUUCUUCAGACAUCACCUGCUUUUAUCUGCAGAACAGUGCUCUGACUUAGGCAGAGCCAGCACUCCGAGAAUCCUCACUUACAGAGGAGGAAGCUGAGGUCCAAGAUGGAUUCUCUCUAUCUGUGAUUCCACAGCCCAAUCGUCCAGAAGCAGAACAACCUCAACUCCAAAGCCAAGGCCCUACAGGAAGCCAGCAUGUCCAUACGAGUAUUUCAUUACCAUUCUAAAAGUGUUAUCAGACGUUGUUGCCUCCUUCUUCACCAACCUAUCAUCGAUCAGCCUAAUAAAUGUCCUGCUCGCCUGCCCUCCACUGCU
rnacentral:lncRNA from 1 species